rnacentral:rRNA from 1 species
GGAUUCCCCUAGUAACGGCGAGUGAAGAGGGAAGAGCUCAAAUUUUGAAUCUGGCACCUUUGGUGUCCGAAUUGUAAUCUAGAGAAGUGUUUUCCGUGGCGGACCGUGCAUAAGUCUCCUGGAAUGGAGCGUCAUAGAGGGUGAGAAUCCCGUAUAUGGCAUGGACUCCCGUUGCUCUGUGAUACACUCUCGACGAGUCGAGUUGUUUGGGAAUGCAGCUCUAAAUGGGUGGUAAAUGCCAUCUAAAGCUAAAUAUUGGCGAGAGACCGAUAGCGAACAAGUACCGUGAGGGAAAGAUGAAAAGCACUUUGGAAAGAGAGUGAACAGUACGUGAAAUUGUUGAAAGGGAAACGCUUGAAGUCAGUCGCGCCGUUCGGGAUUCAGCCUUGCUUCUGCUCGGUUUACUUCCCGUUGGGUGGGUCAACAUCAGUUUUGGUCGGAGGAGAAAGGCUUGGGGAAGGUGGCAGCAUUCGUGCUGUGUUAUAGCCCCUUGUUGUAUACUUCGGCUGGGACUGAGGACCGCAGCACGCCUUUGGCCGGGGCUUUGCCCACGUACGUGCUUAGGAUGUUGGCAUAAUGGCUUUAAGCGACCCGUCUUGAAACACGGACCAAGGAGUCUAACAUGUGCGCGAGUGUUUGGGUGUUAAACUCGGACUGCGAAAUGAAAGUGAAAAGUUGGGAACACUUAUGUGUGCACCGACGCCCGGAGCUGACCUUCUGUGACGCAUCUGCGGUAGAGCGUAUAUGUUGGGACCCGAAAGAUGGUGAACUAUGCCUGAAUAGGGUGAAGCCAGAGGAAACUCUGGUGGAGGCUCGUAGCGAUUCUGACGUGCAAAUCGAUCGUCAAAUUUGGGUAUAGGGGCG